rnacentral:lncRNA from 1 species
UCUUCCCUUGACUCUCUCACUUUCCUUCUGACACGUGAAAGACAAAGAAAAAAAGGAAAAUAAAACACCACCAACCACGAUUCACCUUGAUCUUCCUCCUUCACGCCAUUCGCUCCACCUUCAUCUUCCUCAUCCUUCAUAACCUUCGCCUCUCUCUCCAUCCCAUCUUCCACUCACCGUUAAACAACCAAAAUCUUCCGUCUUCCAUGACUCUCACCAAACCCAUUCCACCUCCACAACCCUUAACCUUCGCAUCUUCACGCCAUACCUCCUUAAACCUUUACACAAACCCUCGCCGCUUCUACCAUCCAUAAACCCCACACGGACACCAAACUCCCACUCCUCCGCUCUUU